GUCAGUCUCUACACUCAAGAUUACUUGUAUUCUAAGUUAAGCAUAAUAGUUCUCACAUACCUUUCUCUGACUGAUGAUCCCAUAUUUAUAGUAUUCUCUUUGGGCCUUAAGGCCAGGCCCAUCCAUGAUCCUUUACACGUACUUCUACUCGGCCUUUACUCUACUGGCUGGAGUGCCGAUUAUUUCUAUUCGGCUCUUCGGUUGACUAGGAUAAAAGCUGAAUAGAAGUUACGUUCCGGACCGGACGGGUUUAUUCGUCCCUAUUGAUUCAGUAAUAUUCGGCUCCCAUAACUUGAUAUUCAUCAAGCAUAACAGCCUACCAAGCAGAGGAUUUGGCCGCCUCUUAAUAAGUCUGUGGUUCAUAAGUAUCAAUGGAAGCAAGAAAACAGGAAGUAUAGUGGGCUUUAGACCUGGUAACUAUAGGAUGAACAUUAAAAGGUAGAAGGCAAGGAAAAUCAAUGAAAAUAGAGGAAAUAGGAAUAGUGGGAGUUGGUGCUGCUAAGAUAGGAGCUGGGUCUGGAGAAUAAGAAGCUGGUUCUGUAGGAGAUAAUGUUGUAGGAGUAUAAAAGAGUGUAGGUGUAGCUGGUAUAGAAGUAGAAGUAGAGGUUGUAUGUGCUGUUGAGAUAGGUGCAGGUGUAAUAGACUAGAAAAAAAUGAAUAACUGAGGAAGAGCAUGUGCAGGAAAGGAGGUAACUGUGGACAGUUUAAAAGAAAACAAAUUUUCAUCAAAGAUAACAUGCCUAGACACAUAAAUCUUACCUGUGCUUGGAUCAAGACAUUUGUAGCCUUUAAUAGAAGGUUGAUAUCCAAUGAAGACAAAUGGAAGAGAUCUUGGUUGAAGUUUAUGUGAAGUGUAUGGUCUAAGCCAAGGAUAACAUCUGCACCCAAAGGAUCUAAGAAACUUGUAAUCAUGUUUUUGUUUGAACAAAACCUUAAAUGGAGUAAGAUUUUGAAGUUUGAGAGUAGGAAGUCUAUUGAUCAAAAAUACAAAAGUUGCAAGAUGUUGAAACCAAUACUGCAAAGGAAGGGAUGAAUGAUGCAUAAGAGUAAUGGUAGUUUCAAUAAGAUAUACGUGCUUCCUCUCUGCUACACCAUUUUGGGCAAGUGUAUAUGGACAAGUCAACUGAUGUUCAAUGCCCUUAAGUUUUUGAACCUAAUUGCUUAGGCAUUCUCCUCCAUUAUUAUUUCUUAAAAUUUGAAGUUUGGUGUGAAACUAAGUUUCAACAAAAGCUUUGAAUUCCAAAAAUUUAGUAAACACUUCACUCUUGUAAUGUAAAGGAAAAAGCCAAGUAAAUUUACUAAAAUCAUUAAUGAAACAACAUAGUAUUUAAAACCUGAAACUAAGGCUGAGAAUGGAUCCCAAACAUCAGUAUGAAUAAGAGCCAAUGAUUUAUUUUCAGUAGAGUUAGACAAUGUGAAAGGCAAUCUAUGACUCUUAGACACACAACAAUGCUCACACAAACUGGUAUUAUUCUUAAUAGAUAAAGAAAAAUAACCUAAGUGAUGACGAGUCAUAAGGUGAUGAAGCUUCUUGGAGGAAGGAUGACCAAGUUGAAAAUGCCAAUUUGGAGUAGAAGAGGAACUGGUGGAACAAGAGUAGUAUACUUGAGAUGUGGAUGCAACAGAUGAAUGUGAUAGUAUAAAGGGAUAGAGACCAUUAGCAUAGCAGCCUUCAUGUGGCACCUUCUGAGUAUUCUUGUCUUGAAUAAUAAAGGAAUUAUUAUCAAAAGUAAAAAUACAGUUGUUAUCAACAGACAACUGAUGAACAAAGAAUAAAUUAGAAGAAAUAGAGGGCACACGUGGCAUUUUAGUAAGAUGAAAAGGAAAAUUAGGUGUGGAAAGGAGUCCUUUACCAGUACGAGUGAUAGGCAAAGUUGUGCCAUCACCAAUAGUAACUUGAUCACUGCCUGGAUAUAGUUGAUAGUAAGAAAGGUUGGAUAGAUCAUUUGUCAUGUGACUUCACUCCAAGAAUUUGCACAUUUGGCGACCACUUUUGGCAACUAAACAAAAUUUAGUCGUCAAAAAGUUGACUUGGGCGACUAAAAUGUGUAUUAGUCGGCGAUGGUACUGUUUUUAGCUCUAAAAUUUUUUAGUAGUGAAAUAUUAUUUAUUGGCGACUAAAUUACCUUUUUGUCGGCAAAAGUGACACUUUUAUCGACUAAAAAAUUUAUUAGUCGCCGUUAGUCUCAAUUUUAGGUUACUAAUUUUUUUUAGUUGUUAUAUAUGAAUUUUUACCUACAAAAUAAAUGUUAGUAGCAAAAAACAGGUAUAUUUUUUUGGUUAAUCUUUAGUGACUAAAAAAUUUAGUGGGCAAAUACAAAUUUUUUCCAACCAAGUGGAGAUUUAGUUGCCAAAUAUACAUUUGGUGACCAAUAAAAUAGUCACUGUUUAUUUUCCUAUGGCUACAAAAUCGGAUAGUCGCCUAUAAUAACACUUUUGCCAACAAAAAUUUCUUUUAGUCGCUAAAUCUUCAAAAUUUUUAGGGCGCGCGCACAGACUCUUUUAAUGCUGCCCGCCCCUUUCUCUGUUACACACAACAACAUUCAAACCUCAAAAUCAGACACCAAACCAAAGAGACAAACACCUCACCGCAGCCCACCGUACGGAAGACAUUGCCAUGGCUACGACCAUGGCCACCACCGCAAAGUACCACCGGCACAACCGUAGAUCUCAGGUAAUGUUAGUCGUCUUCCGCAGUUGGAUCCUGAUCAAACCCUCAAGCUAAAGAGCAACUUACUAUGCUAACACUGGCUGAGACAGACAAGGACCUCAUUUUAAUCCAUUCAAGAAGGAUCACGAAACUCCUUCUGAUAAAGAAUGUCACGCCGGAAAUUUAGGGUUGCAGAGAUGAUGAUUAAAGACAUGCUCGUAUAUUAAGAGCAAUUUUCUUCAUUCCAAAAUUGUUACUUUUUGUUUCAUAAUGAUGACGAAAAGAAAGAGGAUUUAAUUGAUGUCAUAUUCUGUUAAUUUGAUUAUUGACCUACUGCACACAGUAAGGGAUUAACUUGUUUCAAUUGCUGGACGAAAAAAUUGUAGUUUCAAAUGCCAUAUAGAAUACUAUUUUAAAUCUCUCAUUUUUCAAUGGUAUGGAAAGCUUUGAUUUGCUAGAAUUAUGUGUACACCUUGUUUUCAAAAUUGUAGAUUCCGCUAAGCGGGCAACAUUCCAUAUUGGGGAGGGCAGUGGUUGUGCAUGCAAAUCCUGAUGAUCUUGGGAGAGAUAUGGCUCAUUCUUUGCAUCUUAUGUCAUAUUACAAUGCCUAAACUUGAAAGCAAAAGCAAUACUUCCCAAAUGGCUUUUGGCAUGGAGUUGUGGAUAUUCCAUUUUUGUGGACGGAUGACAAUUUACAUUUUUGUAAACUCCUCCAUUCUUGUCGUCCUCUACUUUUUGUGUACUUUUUCCUUCAAAUAGAUAAUUUAUCCCGUGAUCUAUUGAUUGCCUUUUGUCGUGGUACAUAUUACCACGGUGUUUUGUACCUUGCCAAUUGUCAUUUGGCAUAGUAGUAAAUAAAUUUUUGUAUACGGAAGAUGAAAUUUCCCUAUGAUCAUUUAUGUUAUGUAUGGAAUUAUUAUUUUAAGUUGGAAUGUAUUUGAUUUGUAUGGAAUUAUUGACAUUUGAAGGUAUUAAUUUUUAAA